UACGUAGGGUGCAGGCGUUAAUCGGAAUUACUGGGCGUAAAGCGUGCGCAGGCGGCUCCUUAAGUCAGAUGUGAAAGCCCCGGGCUUAACCUGGGAACUGCGUUUGAAACUGGGGAGCUAGAGUGUGGAAGAGGGGGGUGGAAUUCCAGGUGUAGCAGUGAGAUGCGUAGAGAUCUGGAGGAACACCGAUGGCGAAGGCAGCCCCCUGGGCUAACACUGACGCUCAUGCACGAAGCGUGGGAGCAAACGAGG
rnacentral:rRNA from 1 species